rnacentral:rRNA from 1 species
GAAGCGAAGUGAUCUACCCAUGGCCAGGUUGAAGCGCGUGUAAGAGCGCGUGGAGGACCGAACCCACUUCAGUUGAAAAUGGAGGGGAUGAGCUGUGGGUAGGGGUGAAAGGCCAAUCAAACUUCGUGAUAGCUGGUUCUCCCCGAAAUGCAUUUAGGUGCAGCGUUACGUGUUUCUUGCCGGAGGUAGAGCUACUGGAUGGCCGAUGGGCCCUACAAGGUUACUGACGUCAGCCAAACUCCGAAUGCCGGUAAGUGAGAGCGUAGCAGUGAGACUGUGGGGGAUAAGCUUCAUAGUCGAGAGGGAAACAGCCCAGACCACCAACUAAGGCCCC